rnacentral:rRNA from 1 species
GUGCCAGCAGCCGCGGUAAUACGAAGGGUGCAAGCGUUACUCGGAAUUACUGGGCGUAAAGCGUGCGUAGGUGGUUCGUUAAGUCUGUCGUGAAAUCCCCGGGCUCAACCUGGGAAUGGCGAUGGAUACUGGCGAGCUAGAGUGAGGUAGAGGAGAGUGGAAUUCCCGGUGUAGCAGUGAAAUGCGUAGAGAUCGGGAGGAACAUCAGUUGCGAAGGCGGCUCUCUGGACCAUCACUGACACUGAGGCACGAAAGCGUGGGGAGCAAACAGGAUUAGAAACCCCAGUAGUCC